GAUGAAGAACGUAGCGAAAUGCGAUAAUUAAUGUGAAUUGCAGAAUUCCGUGAGUCAUCGAGCCUUUGAACGCACAUUGCGCCUCAUGGCAUUCCGUGAGGCAUGCCCAUCUCAGCGUUAGAAAAUAUUCUCAAAUUUUAGUUUUGUGCUAAAAUUUGGAUCAUGUCAAAGAAGCUAUUACUAUUAUUGUGAUCGCUCUUUGGAAAUUGAUAGGUCUUUGAGUUGCUACUCAUAGAACGUGAUGAAUCUUUCUUCGUUCUAUUGUAAUUCACUCUGGUAGUCCUAAAACUUGUAUGCCUGUGGCAUAUCUUGUAAUUUGACCUGAGAUUGGGUAGGGAUACCCGCUGAACUUAAGCAUAUCAAUAAGCGGAGGA
rnacentral:misc_RNA from 1 species